rnacentral:lncRNA from 13 species
CCCUCUGGACCAGCCCAGGCCCAGGUUGGGUUACUGGAAUACCCCUUCUGGUCCUCCCCAAAUGGCGCUGAUAAGCGCUGGUCGAGGUAGAAAAUAAGUUGCAUUUAGGAUACAACCACAUUACUGGUGCUUCUUACUCACAGUGUGACCUAUGACCUCUCCACUGUGUGUAAAGAAUCAACGGACACACGUUGUCUGAGGAUCUGUACGGCAACAACAACAAGAUGGUGUGUGGUGUUGAGCCUCAGCAUCAACAACAACAAGAUUGUGUGUGGUCUUGACCAAGUUACAGUAAUGAGCCUCAACAUCAACAACAAGAUGGUGUGUGGUGGUGACCAAGUUACAGUAUUGAGCCUCAGCAUCAACAACAACAAGAUGGUGUUUGGUGGUGACCAAGUUACAAUAAUGAGCCUCAGCAUCAACAACAACAAGAUGGUGUGUGGUGUUGAGCCUCAGCAUCAACAACAACAAGAUGGUGUGUGGUGGUGACCAAGUUACAAUAAUGAGCCUCAGCAUCAACAACAACAAGAUGGUGUUUGGUGGUGACCAAGUUACAGUAAUGAUCCUCAACUUCAACAACAACAAGAUGGUGUUUGGUGGUGACCAAGUUACAGUAAUGAUCCUCAGCAUCAACAACAACAACAACAACAACAAGAUGGUGUGUGGUGUUGACCAAGUUACAGUAAUGAUCCUCAGCAUCAACAACAACAACAACAACAACCCCUAAACAUACAGAGUCCUCGUGUGUUGUUUAAAUACAGUCCAGACUGGUUCCCUAUCAGCACAGUCAUCACAGAAGCUGUCAGCUAAAACGUUUUUUUUUUGUUUUAUCAAAAACUUUCCAUCACCAGAAUCAGAGGCAGAUUCUUACCCCCAUCUGCCAUCCCAAGAGCAAAACCGAAACCUACAUGAUGGGAUCGUUGAACACUGACUAAUAUCACGGGUGAUCUGGCUGGGUCCCAAAUGAGCUGGCUGGGUCCCAAAUGAUCUGGCUGGGUACCAAAUGGGCUUGGUCCCAAAUGAACUGGGUCCCAAAUGGGCUGGGUCCCAAAUGGGCUGGGUCCCAAAUGAACUGGGUCCCAAAUGAUCUGGGUCCCAAAUGAGCUGGGUCCCAAAUGAUCUGGGUCCCAAAUGAGCUUGGUCCCAAAUGGGCUGGAU